UAGGGAAUCUUCCACAAUGGACGCAAGUCUGAUGGAGCAACGCCGCGUGAGUGAAGAAGGUUUUCGGACCGUAAAGCUCUGUUGUUGGUGAAGAAGGAUAGAGGUAGUAACUGGCCUUUAUUUGACGGUAAUCAACCAGAAAGUCACGGCUAACUACGUGCCAGCAGCCGCGGUAAUACGUAGGUGGCAAGCGUUGUCCGGAUUUAUUGGGCGUAAAGCGAGCGCAGGCGGAAGAAUAAGUCUGAUGUGAAAGCCCUCGGCUUAACCGAGGAAUUGCAUCGGAAACUGUUUUCUUGAGUGCAGAAGAGGAGAGUAGAACUCCAUGUGUAGCGGUGGAAUGCGUAGAUAUAUGGAAGAAUUCCAGUGGCGAAGGCGGCUCUCUGGUCUGCAACUGACGCUGAGGCUCGAAAGCAUGGGUAGCGAACAGGAUUAGAUACCCUGGUAGUCCAUGCCGUAAACGAUGAGUGCUAAGUGUUGGGAGGCUUCCGCCUCUCAGUGCUGCAGCUAACGCAUUAAGCACUCCGCCUGGGGGAGUACGACCGCAAGGUUGAAAC
rnacentral:rRNA from 1 species